AGGGGGCUAGCGUUAUCCGGAAUUACUGGGCGUAAAGGGUGCGUAGGUGGUUUCUUAAGUCAGAGGUGAAAGGCUACGGCUCAACCGUAGUAAGCCUUUGAAACUGAGAAACUUGAGUGCAGGAGAGGAGAGUGGAAUUCCUAGUGUAGCGGUGAAAUGCGUAGAUAUUAGGAGGAACACCAGUUGCGAAGGCGGCUCUCUGGACUGUAACUGACACUGAGGCACGAAAGCGUGGGGAGCAAA
rnacentral:rRNA from 1 species